rnacentral:lncRNA from 1 species
AGGUAUCACUCAAAACAGGGCCGGGCCCAACUAUUUGGAUGGAGGCCCUGGUUGAAUAUUAAAAAUGGGCCUUCAAUGAAAAACACAAAUUUUUUAAAAAAAAGGCACUGUGGGGAUUUGAACCUGAACCAUGGACCUUACACACAAAAACAUUAUAGUCUGCCACUAAUCUAUUGAUGGACAUCUAAUAUUUUACAAACAUUGAUAAUAUACAGCUAUUAUUAUAGGGCCUUGAAAUUUUGAGGCCUGAUGCCGUGGGUGUGGGCCGGGCCUGAUUCAAAAGCAUAAGAAAUACAGCGCCAAGCUGCCAAAAUAAAUAACUAAGCGUUUGAGAGAUUAUGAGAAUAAAAUCCCCCUCUUCUCUCGGGGUAUUUCUCUUACCCUCAUUCACAUUUUUUGACAUUUUUGAAAAAGCACAUUUUUUUACAUUAAAAACAUCAAACAUUAGGGUUUUUAUUUGGGUGGGCAGGCCCAUUUUAGUCCGGUCCAAUAAAGCUCGAAUCAAUUAGGUCAAACCAAACCUGCAAUAAAUCAAAGAUUGUUGCUCCUCAAGCCCCCAAGUUACUCCCAGGUCCCCAAAAUUCCGUUUUUAUCCUUAAACUCAGUUCGGAAAUUACAUUCUGAACUUGAUGUUGCUGCGGAACGUAAUUUCAAAACCAAUUUCACAUGGACAAAUUUCAGAUUUUAGCUUCCGAACCACUCCCAUUACAUGCUCACGUGAUUUUCUCAUCCCUAUCUGUCAUAUAAUGAUGACUUUUUGGUCAAAGGUCAAAGGAAGAUAGCCACUGUUCAAAGCAAAAUCAAGUGAAAGAAAAAGAAAAUCAAANNNNNNNNNNNNNNNAUCAUGAAAUUCAUUUAAAAAAUGCAAAACAAGUGAGUCUGACAUGGAGAAGACAUUUUUGAAGCCACCGUCUCAAGGUGGUUGGGUCGUGUGUGCGUGUACCUCUUCCGGGGAGCUCCGUGGCUGCCUUCUUGCACAUUAGAGGGCGAAUAAUAAUGUAAUAAAGAAAUAAACCAAAAAUGAAAUAGCAAACCUUAAAUAAGAGGAAAAAGCUUAAGAUAAAGAAGGAGAUGCAAUUUUAAUCUCGUGAGCAUGUAAUGGUGGUGGUUCGGAAGCUUGUAAAAUAGGUAUGGAAACUACACUCCAAACCAACAUCAAGUUUGGAACAUAAUUUCUGAACUAAGUUUAAGGGUAACAACAGAAUUUUGGGGGCCUAAAGAGCAAACUUCUAAAUCAAAAGACAUGGAUCCACUGAAGCUGAGAAACUAUGUUGUAGUUAAUCUCAACUGUAGAUUUGAGAUCGGACGGUUGAAAUUAUAAAUUCAUUGAAUCAGUUACAAAUCUAAUGAUAUAAAACAUUGAAGCUUAUUUUUAUUUUUUUAUAUUUUGGAUAGAAAAAUGUUAUUAAGUUAGUAGUUAUGUUAGUUUCCAGGAUUGAGCCCACAAAAUCAUUCUUAAAACUCCUUUGGCAUCCCUUAGAAAACAAUGAAGCUUUGGUUUCUAUGGACAACUCACAUUUCAUCAACAUUACCAUCAAGUAGAAGGACACUUAUAAGGAUAAGCAUCAGGUGGCUCAACUCUUAUCUUCCAUACACCUACUUGAUAAGGACCUGCAAUAAAAGUGNNNNNNNNAAAAAAAAAAAAAAAAAAAAAAAAAAAGGAAAAUUAAUACAAGGGGUGCAAAAAAAUUACCAAUUGAUGAUAUCUCACCCCAAUUGAAAUUAGAUGAAAAAUGACUACUUAUGAUUAACAAAAAUGAAACAAAUCAACGAAUACUACCUUUGACUUUCUGUUCAUAUGCAGCACGGUCUCUCAUCAUCAAGGCAGCGGCAUCACCAUUCAAUGGAUCUGAUGCAUUGGGGUAUAUAAGAAGUUGAGGAAUAAACACUUCGAACACAUUAACAAGAUCUGAAUGAAAAUAACAAAAAUGUAAGGUAGCAACACUAACAAUCAAACAAGGUUGAAUCAAAUGCAUAGCAAGUUCAUUUUUAGUAAUUCUCUUUACCACCAAUAUAUGUAAGGUACUAUAGAUUGUUAAUAAUGCUUACCGAACAUCGGACUCAAUGUCUGGUUGAUAACAUCUAAGCAAACCGAGCCAGACCUGAAUAUCAGAGAAAAACAUUUCGAUCAGCUGUUGAGUAUAACAAUUCGUUUGCACAACAGAUAAUAGCGGUUCCAUUGAGGACAAUGGCGUUGCUUAAAUAUGAUAGAUAGAAAACAAUGAAGCUUAUUUUUUGUGAAUAGGAAAAUGUUAUUAAGUUCUAGUUAUGUUAGUUUCCAGUAUUUG